rnacentral:rRNA from 1 species
AGAGUGAACGCUGGCGGCAGGCCUAACACAUGCAAGUCGAACGGCAGCACAGUAAGAGCUUGCUCUUAUGGGUGGCGAGUGGCGGACGGGUGAGGAAUACAUCGGAAUCUGCCUAUUUGUGGGGGAUAACGUAGGGAAACUUACGCUAAUACCGCAUACGACCUACGGGUGAAAGCGGAGGACCUUCGGGCUUCGCGCAGAUAGAUGACGCCGAUGUCGGAUUAGCUAGUUGGUGGGGUAAACGGCCCACCAAGGCGACGAUCCGUAGCUGGUCUGAGAGGAUGAU